rnacentral:rRNA from 1 species
AAUGAACGCUGGCGGCAUGCCUAACACAUGCAAGUCGAACGACGGCUUCGGCCUUAGUGUCGCACCGGUGCGUAACGCGGGGGAAUCUGCCUCUGGGCUCGGAAUAACGGGUAGAAAUGACUGCUAAUACCGGGAGAUGUCGUGAGACCAAAGGGUGAGCGCCCAAGGAUGAGCCCGCGAAGGCUUAGCAAGUUGGUGGGGUAAAGCCCUACCAAGGCGACGUUCCUUAGCUGGUCAGAGAGGAUGAGCAGCCACACUGGUACUGAGACACGGCCCAGACUCCUACGGGAGGCAGCAGUGGGGAAUACAGGACAGUGGGCGAAAGCCUGAUCCAGCAAUGCCGCGUGAGUGAUGAAGGCCUUAGGGAUGUGAACCUCUUUUACACGGCAUGAUGAUGACAGUACCGGCAGAAUAAGCUCCGGCUAACUUCGUG